AUUGAACGCUGGCGGCAUGCUUUACACAUGCAAGUCGAACGGCAGCACGGGGGGCAACCCUGGUGGCGAGUGGCGAACGGGUGAGUAACACAUCGGAACGUGUCCAGUUGUGGGGGAUAACCCAUCGAAAGGUGGGCUAAUACCGCAUGAGCUGGCAACAGGAAAGCGGGGGACCCGCAAGGGCCUUGUGCGAUUGGAGCGGCCGAUGUCCGAUUAGCUAGUUGGUGGGGUAAAGGCCUACCAAGGCUUCGAUCGGUAGCUGGUCUGAGAGGAUGAUCAGCCACACUGGGACUGAGACACGGCCCAGACUCCUACGGGAGGCAGCAGUGGGGAAUUUUGGACAAUGGGCGCAAGCCUGAUCCAGCCAUGCCGCGUGCGGGAUGAAGGCCU
rnacentral:rRNA from 1 species